AUACGGAGGGGGCAAGCGUUGUUCGGAAUUACUGGGCGUAAAGAGUACGUAGGCGGAUCGUUUAGUUAGAGGUGAAAUCCCAGGGCUCAACCCUGGAACUGCCUUUAAUACUGGCGAUCUAGAGAUCGAGAGAGGUGAGUGGAAUUUCCAGUGUAGAGGUGAAAUUCGUAGAUAUUGGAAAGAACACCAGUGGCGAAGGCGGCUCACUGGCUCGAUACUGACGCUGAGGUACGAAAGCGUGGGGAGCAAACAGGAUUAGAUACCCUAGUAGUCC
rnacentral:rRNA from 1 species